rnacentral:misc_RNA from 1 species
AUGGCCACGAUAAUGCAAACUCAGACCUCAUUCUUUCUGUCAAUCUUGAGUUGGUCAAUUUGGACACAAAGAAAAGGUAUGUAGUGAAGGAUAUGCUUGGGCAUGGAACUUUUGGCCAGGUUGCUAAGUGCUGGGUUGAAGAAUCGAAUUCAUUUCUUGCUGUUAAGGUCAUCAAGAAUCAACCAGCAUAUUAUCAACAAGCACUUGUUGAAGUUUCUAUCCUGACAACAUUAAAUAAGAAGUAUGACCCUGAUGAUAAGCACCAUAUUGUCCGGAUCCAUGAUUACUUUGUAUAUCGACGUCACUUGUGCAUUGCUUUUGAACUGCUUGACACAAAUCUCUAUGAGCUUAUAAAGUUGAACCAUUUUAGAGGAUUGUCUUUGAGCAUUGUCCAGUUGUUCUCGAAGCAGAUAUUGCGUGGAUUAGCACUAAUGAAAGAUGCUGGUAUAAUUCACUGUGAUCUGAAGCCUGAGAACAUUCUUUUAUGCACUAGUGAAAAGCCAGCUGAAAUAAAAGUUAUAGACUUUGGAUCAGCAUGCAUGGAGGAUCGUACUGUUUACUCUUAUAUCCAGAGUCGGUACUAUAGGUCACCUGAAGUGCUCCUUGGAUAUCAAUAUACCACUGCUAUUGAUAUGUGGUCAUUUGGUUGCAUCGUUGCUGAAUUAUUUCUAGGACUUCCGCUGUUCCCUGGAGCUUCAGAAUUUGACCUUCUGAGGAGAAUGAUUAAAAUACUUGGGGGGCAGCCCCCUGAUUACAUGCUAAAGGAUGCCAAAAAUACCAGCAAGUUCUUCAAGUUUGUUGGGAGCAUUAAUCAAGAAGAGUGUGGGCCAGGUCCUAUGAGCAGAUCUAGUGUUUAUCAGGCUUUGACAGAAGAAGAAUAUGAAUCUAGAGAGUCAAAAAAGCCCGUACUUGGGAAGGAAUAUUUCAAUCACAUGAACCUUGAAGCCAUCGUCAGGAAAUAUCCUUACAAGAAGAUUUUGCGGGAGGAUGAGAUUAUUAAAGAGAAUCAAAUACGAUUAGCACUAAUAGAUUUCUUGAGGGGGCUUGUUGAGUUUGAUCCAGCUAAGCGAUGGUCACCUGUGCAGGCAUCAAAGCAUCCUUUUGUGACUGGAGAGCCUUUCACAUGUCCCUAUAGACCUGCACCGGAGACACCUCGGCUGCCCGUUUCUCAGAAUGUUAGGGUGGAUCAUCACCCAUCUGGAGGCCAUUGGUUUGCUGCUGGUCUAUCUCCUAAU